UGGAGGCAGCAGUGGGGAAUUUUGGGCAAUGGGCGAAAGCCUGACCCAGCAACGCCGCGUGAAGGAUGAAGUUUUUCGGAAUGUAAACUUCGAAAGAAUGGGAAGAAUAAAUGACGGUACCAUUUAUAAGGUCCGGCUAACUACGUGCCAGCAGCCGCGGUAAUACGUAGGGACCAAGCGUUGUUCGGAUUUACUGGGCGUAAAGGGCGCGUAGGCGGCAAUUCAAGUCAGCUGUGAAAUCUCCGGGCUUAACUCGGAACGGUCAGCUGAUACUGCUUUGCUAGAGUGCGGAAGGGGCAAUCGGAAUUCUCGGUGUAGCGGUGAAAUGCGUAGAUAUCGAGAGGAACACCUGAGGUGAAGACGGGUUGCUGGGCCGACACUGACGCUGAUGCGCGAAAGCCAGGGUAGCAAACGGGAUUAGAUACCCCGGUAC
rnacentral:rRNA from 1 species